rnacentral:rRNA from 1 species
CAAGUCGAACGAAGCAUGCCGGAGGAAGUUUUCGGAUGGAAUCCGGGAUGACUGAGUGGCGGACGGGUGAGUAACGCGUGGGUAACCUGCCCUGUACAGGGGGACAACAGUUAGAAAUGACUGCUAAUACCGCAUAAGCGCACAGGAUCGCAUGGUCCGGUGUGAAAAACUCCGGUGGUACAGGAUGGACCCGCGUCUGAUUAGGUAGUUGGCGGGGUAACGGCCCACCAAGCCGACGAUCAGUAGCCGACCUGAGAGGGUGACCGGCCACAUUGGGACUGAGACACGGCCCAAACUCCUACGGGAGGCAGCAGUGGGGAAUAUUGCACAAUGGGGGAAACCCUGAUGCAGCGACGCCGCGUGAGUGAAGAAGUAUUUCGGUAUGUAAAGCUCUAUCAGCAGGGAAGAAAAUGACGGUACCUGACUAAGAAGCCCCGGCUAACUACGUGCCAGCAGCCGCGGUAAUACGUAGGGGGCAAGCGUUAUCCGGAUUUACUGGGUGUAAAGGGAGCGUAGACGGCAGAGCAAGUCUGAAGUGAAAGCCCGCGGCCCAACUGCGGGACUGCUUUGGAAACUGCCCGGCUAGAGUGCUGGAGAGGUAAGCGGAAUUCCUAGUGUAGCGGUGAAAUGCGUAGAUAUUAGGAGGAACACCAGUGGCGAAGGCGGCUUACUGGACAGUAACUGACGUUGAGGCUCGAAAGCGUGGGGAG